rnacentral:rRNA from 1 species
UACGUAGGGUGCAAGCGUUACUCGGAAUUACUGGGCGUAAAGCGUGCGCAGGCGGUGAUGUAAGACAGGUGUGAAAUCCCCGGGCUUAACCUGGGAACUGCAUUUGUGACUGCAUCGCUGGAGUGCGGCAGAGGGGGAUGGAAUUCCGCGUGUAGCAGUGAAAUGCGUAGAUAUGCGGAGGAACACCGAUGGCGAAGGCAAUCCCCUGGGCCUGAUCUGACGCUGAGGCGCGAAAGCUAGGGGAGCGAACAGG